CAUUAGUCGGCUUGGUUGACAGAAGACCAGGAGCAAACAACACAAGCUUGAGUAAACAACCAAAACAAACAAAGCCUUGAGCUGUUUGAGGGAAGGUUUAUCAGAAGAGGGAGUGAUAUAGGGUCUGGUUGAAAUGAAUUAUAUAGAAGAAAGAUGUGAAACAUAAUAGAGAGUUUUUCAACGACUCACUUUAAAGGGGCUACUGUCUAUCCCAGAAUGUGUUGCUAUAUGGUUUUAUUCAUAUUCUAAAUAAGUCGUCAUUUAGAGAUUUUAUCCCGACAUUUACAAAAGUUUAGCACACAGAAAUAGUCUAAGAGACUGCCGUCAAAACAAUGCAAUGCAUUAUGGGUAGAUUACAAGUUGCCGUUGAAACAAAGCAAUGCGUUAAGGGUAGAGUUAACGGACACCUUUAAUGUAGUUCAUUAUCACUACUAAGAUGAACCUUGUGUACCAGGCGCGUACCUGGGAAAUGCUAAAUCGCCAUCAAAAACUUUUUGUGCCAAAGGAAGGUGAAGACAGAUCCUUCUGCUCCGACGAAGAGCUAAUAGCGUUCCCAAAUAUGUACGGUUACGCGACCUUCCCUAGCUGGGUGCAUGGGGCCUAAGUAGCUCAGGAUAUAAUUUGAUUUCAUAACCCUCGAGUUGGAGUUAGAAAACAGACUUCUAAUGCAAUAAGCCAGCUUUUAUUGAAAAUCCACAAUACCACUGAGCAUUAACACAAGAAGCAAAGAAAAAAGCAAGUUGACCCUUCAGCAAGAGAUCAUUCCUGCACUCGCCAUUUACUGGAUUUGCGAGGUAUGAUCGCUUACUUUAUCUCAAUAUACGAUAGCUCAAUCACAAAGGGUUGUCGAAGCAUGUGAAAUACAGACUAAAGAUAAACGUAAGAAGACUUCAUUUCACGGGGUACUCCCCGUUAAAAAGUCACAUAUGCUAGUGGAGAAAAUAAAAAUUUAGAUCAUAUGGCGUGGUCAUCUUCAGAAUUACAUUUUGUUAGUGAAUCAAAUUAUUCUGGCCUACAACCAGCACGAGACACGCUAAAGAGUAGCAGUCCUAGGUAAGGCCCCAAGGAUACGCUUGGGCAAGUUUUGAUCCCUUAAGGAUAUAAUGGGCAGAUGUGACUCUUUUCAGGGAAGUUCCCCAGCUAUAUUUGUAACAAAAACAACAGACAGUCAUGCCCCAGCUCCCUUGAAAAAUUCUAUACGGGCAAGUGAGACAAAUGAGUGUUAAUAUUAAAGUGAAGUAAUUGUUCAAAUAAGGUAAAAGUAAAGUCUAAAUUGAUGUUA